rnacentral:rRNA from 1 species
GACGAACGCUGGCGGCGUGCCUAAUACAUGCAAGUAGAACGCUGAAGGAGGAGCUUGCUUCUCUGGAUGAGUUGCGAACGGGUGAGUAACGCGUAGGUAACCUGCCUGGUAGCGGGGGAUAACUAUUGGAAACGAUAGCUAAUACCGCAUAAUAGUAGAUGUUGCAUGACAUUUGCUUAAAAGGUGCAAUUGCAUCACUACCAGAUGGACCUGCGUUGUAUUAGCUAGUUGGUGGGGUAACGGCUCACCAAGGCGACGAUACAUAGCCGACCUGAGAGGGGGAUCGGCCACACUGGGACUGAGACACGGCCCAGACUCCUACGGGAGGCAGCAGUAGGGAAUCUUCGGCAAUGGACGGAAGUCUGACCGAGCAACGCCGCGUGAGUGAAGAAGGUUUUCGGAUCGUAAAGCUCUGUUGUAAGAGAAGAACGAGUGUGAGAGUGGAAAGUUCACACUGUGACGGUAUCUUACCAGAAAGGGACGGCUAACUACGUG